rnacentral:rRNA from 1 species
UUAAUGGAGAGUUUGAUCCUGGCUCAGGACGAACGCUGGCGGCGUGCCUAAUACAUGCAAGUCGAGCGGAGUU